rnacentral:rRNA from 1 species
UACAGAGGGGGCCAGCGUUAUUCGGAAUUAUUGGGCGUAAAGGGCGCGUAGGCGGCCAUGCGUGUCUUCCGUGAAAUCCCUCGGCUUAACUGAGGACGUGCGGAAGAAACUGCAAGGCUUGAGUCCGGGAGAGGUGAGUGGAAUUCCCAGUGUAGCGGUGAAAUGCGUAGAUAUUGGGAGGAACACCAGUGGCGAAGGCGGCUCACUGGACCGGAACUGACGCUGAGGCGCGAAAGCGUGGGGAGCAAACAGG